AGUGAGAGAAAUGCCAUGUCCGAGCUUUGGAGUUUGUUCAGAUUCCCUCCCUCUCGUCUCACUGCUUCGAAUGAAGAUGGAAUGCGAACGAACUCCACUGCCCGGACAAGGCAGUUCUCACU